rnacentral:tRNA from 1 species
GCCGAAAUAGCUCAGUUGGGAGAGCGUUAGACUGAACAUCCUUGGUUCGAUCCCGGGUUUCAGCA